rnacentral:rRNA from 1 species
CCUACGGGAGGCAGCAGUGGGGAAUAUUGGGCCAUGGGCGCAAGCCUGACCCAGCAAAGCCGCGUGAAGGAAGAAGGCUUUCGGGUUGUAAAAUUCUUUUGACCGGGAAGAGUAGAAGACGGUACCUGACGAAUAAGCCACGGCUAACUACGUGCCAGCAGCCGCGGUAAUACGUAGGUGGCAAGCGUUAUCCGGAUUUACUGGGUGUAAAGGGCGUGUAGCCGGGUUGACAAGUCAGAUGUGAAAUCCUGCGGCUUAACCGCAGAACUGCAUUUGAAACUGUUAAUCUUGAGUACGGGAGAGGCAGACGGAAUUCCUAGUGUAGCGGUGAAAUGCGUAGAUAUUAGGAGGAACACCAGUGGCGAAGGCGGUCUGCUGGACAGCAACUGACGUUGAGGCUCGAAAGCGUGGGGAGCAAACAGGAUUAGAUACCCCAGUAGUC